rnacentral:rRNA from 1 species
GAUGAACGCUGGCGGCGUGCCUAAUACAUGCAAGUCGAGCGAACGGACGAGAAGCUUGCUUCUCUGAUGUUAGCGGCGGACGGGUGAGUAACACGUGGAUAACCUACCUAUAAGACUGGGAUAACUUCGGGAAACCGGAGCUAAUACCGGAUGAUAUUUUGAACCGCAUGGUUCAAAAGUGAAGACGGUCUUGCUGUCACUUAUAGAUGGAUCCGCACUGCAUUAGCUAGUUGGUAAGGUAACGGCUUACCAAGGCAACGAUGCAUAGCCGACCUGAGAGGGUGAUCGGCCACACUGGAACUGAGACACGGUCCAGACUCCUACGGGAGGCAGCAGUAGGGAAUCUUCCGCAAUGGGCGAAAGCCUGACGGAGCAACGCCGCGUGAGUGAUGAAGGUCUUCGGAUCGUAAAACUCUGUUAUUAGGGAAGAACAUAUGUGUAAGUAACUGUGCACAUCUUGACGGUACCUAAUCAGAAAGCCACGGCUAACUACGUG